AUUGAACGCUGGCGGCAUGCUUUACACAUGCAAGUCGAACGGUAACAGGGUGCUUGCACCGCUGACGAGUGGCGAACGGGUGAGUAAUGCGUCGGAACGUGCCGAGUAGUGGGGGAUAACGCAGCGAAAGUUGUGCUAAUACCGCAUACGUACUGAGGUAGAAAGUGGGGGACCUUCGGGCCUCACGCUAUUCGAGCGGCCGACGUCUGAUUAGCUAGUAGGUGAGGUAAAGGCUCACCUAGGCGACGAUCAGUAGCGGGUCUGAGAGGAUGAUCCGCCACACGUGGACUGAGACACGGCCCAGACUCCUACGGGAGGCAGCAGUGGGGAAUUUUGGACAAUGGGCGAAAGCCUGAUCCAGCCAUGCCGCGUGUCUGAAGAAGGCCUUCGGGUUGUAAAGUACUUUCAGCGGGGAGGAAGGCGGUGAGGUUAAUAACCUCACCGAUUGACGUUACCCGCAGAAGAAGCACCGGCUAACUCCGUGCCAGCCGCCGCAGUAA
rnacentral:rRNA from 1 species